AGAGUUUGAUCCUGGCUCAGGACGAACGCUGGCGGCGUGCCUAAUACAUGCAAGUCGAGCGAGUCUCUUCGGAGGCUAGCGGCGGACGGGUGAGUAACACGUAGGCAACCUGCCUCUUAGACUGGGAUAACAUAGGGAAACUUAUGCUAAUACCGGAUAGGUUCUCGGAUUGCAUGAUCUGAGAAGGAAAGGCGGCUUCG
rnacentral:rRNA from 1 species